UGACUCAAUCAUCGAUAAUGA
ensembl:piRNA 21ur-6309 ncRNA